AGAGUUUGAUCCUGGCUCAGAGCGAACGCUGGCGGCAGGCCUAACACAUGCAAGUCGAGCGGCCGUAGCAAUACGGCAGCGGCAGACGGGAGAGUAACACGUGGGAACGCGCCCUUCGGUUCGGGAUAACUCAGGGAAACUUGGGCUAAUACCGGAUACGCCCUUACGGGGAAAGAUUUAUUGCCGAAGGAACGGCCCGCGUCCGAUUAGCUUGUUGGUGAGGUAACGGCUCACCAAGGCGACGAUCGGUAGCUGGUCUGAGAGGAUGACCAGCCUCACUGGGACUGAGACACGGCCCAGACUCCUACGGGAGGCAGCAGUGGGGAAUAUUGGACAAUGGGCGCAAGCCUGAUCCAGCCAUGCCGCGUGAGUGAUGAAGGCCCUAGGGUUGUAAAGCCCUUUCGGCGGGGAAGAUAAUGGCGGUACCUGAAGAAGAAGCCCCGGCUAACUUCGUGCCAGCAGCCGCGGUAAU
rnacentral:rRNA from 1 species